CAGAGAUUUCCCCUAGUAACGGCGAGCGAACGGGGGAACAGCUCAUGGCCUAAUCCGUCGCCAGCAUGGGCGGUCCGGAAAUUUUGGGCGUAUCGGAGAGACGCUUCCGGGCACCGACUCCCGGUGCAAGUCCCCCUGACUGGGGCUCUUACCCCGAGAGGGUGCAAGGCCCGUAGCGGCCGGAAGGCGGUCCCGGAUGUCCUCUCCUGGGAGUCGGGUUGCUUGAGAGUGCAGCCCCAAUCAGGUGGUAAACUCCAUCUAAGGCUAAAUACGACCUGGAGACCGAUAGCGAACAAGUACCGUGAGGGAAAGUUGAAAAGGACUUUGAAGAGAGAGUUCAAGAGUACGUGAAACCGUUUGGAGGUAAACGAGUGGGCCCUCGAAGUUAAAAGGCGGGGGGACUCAGCCGAACGCCGCAGGCCUAUCGGCCUGUCCGCGCUUCCCAAUCAGGACGCGGCAGUACGGUGCAUGGCUACGGCGCGCGGCGCAUUUCUUCCCGUCCCUCGACGCUCCGACCGGUCGGGUGUGCCACGAGCAGUCGGCCUUACCCGCGGGAAACGGAAGGUAGCCGGGACAGCGCUUCGGCGCUGUCCCCGGUGUUUAUCCAUCCCGCGAGCGAGAAGCCGUUCACCCGACCGCAGGAGAAGGCCCUCAGGGGCCUCGCCGUGCUCUCCCGCCCUCGUGCGGGCUCGGAGCUCAUCUCGGAAGGGAGGCCUCGCCGUUCCCGCGUCACACCCUAGGUGGGACGCGGAGCGCGGGCGCCCGCUGGGCCCCGGGGUGAUAUCGAGCGAGCGCANNNNNNNNNNNNNNNNNNNNNNNNNNNNNNNNNUGACCUGUCCUUGAAACACGGACCAAGGAGUUUAACAUGCGCGCGAGUCACGGGGUCUUGCAUAGGCCCAGAGGCGCAAUGAAAGUGAAAGGCGGCAGCCGCCGUCCGCGUUGGGAUUCGUCGGGCACUGCCCGGCGACGCACCAACUGCUCGUCCGGGCCGCCACGUCGGCCGGGCGAAGCUAGAGCGCGCACGUUGAGACCCGAAAGAUGGUGAACUAUGGCUGGGCAGGACGAAGCCAGAGGAAACUCUGGUGGAGGUCCGCAGCGGUUCUGACGUGCAAAUCGAUCGUCAGACCUGGCUAUAGGGGCGAAAGACUAAUCGAACCAUCUAGUAGCUGGUUCCCUCCGAAGUUUCCCUCAGGAUAGCUGGCGCUCGGGAGGAAGCAGUCUCAUCCGGUAAAGCGAAUGAUUAGAGGCCUUGGGGCCGAAAAGACCUCAACCUAUUCUCAAACUUUCAAUGGGUGAGAAGUCCGGUUUGCUCGAUUGAAGCCCGGACGUUCUCGGAUGCGAGUGCCCAGUGGGCCACUUUUGGUAAGCAGAANUGGCNNGCUGUGGRAUGAAGCCAAACGACGGGUUAAGGGGCCCCGAUGCAGGACGCUCAUGAGAAACCCAUGAAAGGGUGUUGGUUGCUAUAGACAGCAGGACGGUGGCCAUGGAAGUCGGAAUCCGCUAAGGAGUGUGUAACAACUCACCUGCCGAAGCAACUAGCCCUGAAAAUGGAUGGCGCUUCAGCGUCGACCCCAUACCCGUCCGCCGCGGCGGAGAUGUGAUCGCCUUAUGCAGCGGUGAGUAGGAGGGCGCGGGGGCGCGCGUGGAAGGUGCCGGGCGUGAGCCCGUCUGGAGCCGCCCCCGGUGCAGAUCUUGGUGGUAGUAGCAAAUACUCAAGUGAGAACCUUGAGGACUGAGGUGGAGAAGGGUUCCAUGUGAACAGCAGUUGAACAUGGGUCAGUCGGUCCUAAGGGAUGUCCGAAAGGAUUUCCGAAGGGGGGACAUUCAGUGUCCCCCCCAUGACCGAAAGGGAAUCGGGUUAAUAUUCCCGAACCCGGACACGGAGAUCGGUCCCCUCGGGGAUACGUGCGGUAACGCAAACGACCUCGGAAACGUCGACGGGGGUCCCGGAAAGAGUUGUCUUUUCUUUGUAAGGGCUCGGCUCCCUGGAAUCGGCUCGCCCGGAGAUAGGGAUGCUGAACCCGUAAAGCACCGCGCCUCUUGUGGUGUCCGGGAGCGCUCCCGUCGGCCCUUUGAAAAUCCGAGCGAGAGUUGGUUGAUUUUCGUUGCUGGCCCCGUAACCCAUAUCCCGCAGCAGGUCUCCAAG
rnacentral:rRNA from 1 species